rnacentral:rRNA from 1 species
GACGAACGCUGGCGGCGUGCCUAAUACAUGCAAGUUGAGCGCUGAAGGUUGGUACUUGUACCAACUGGAUGAGCAGCGAACGGGUGAGUAACGCGUGGGGAAUCUGCCUUUGAGCGGGGGACAACAUUGGGAAACGAAUGCUAAUACCGCAUAAAAACUUUAAACACAAGUUUUAAGUUUGAAAGAUGCAAUUGCAUCACUCAAAGAUGAUCCCGCGUUGUAUUAGCUAGUUGGUGAGGUAAAGGCUCACCAAGGCGAUGAUACAUAGCCGACCUGAGAGGGUGCUCGGCCACAUUGGGACUGGGACACGGCCCAAACUCCUACGGGAGGCAGCAGUAGGGAAUCUUCGGCAAUGGACGAAAGUCUGACCGAGCAACGCCGCGUGAGUGAAGAAGGUUUUCGGAUCGUAAAACUCUGUUGGUAGAGAAGAACGUUGGUGAGAGUGGAAAGCUCAUCAAGUGACGGUAACUACCCAGAAAGGGACGGCUAACUACGUG